GUUCUGGAAGGGGGAUGCUUAGUGUCUGAGGCGACUUGGGUUGCCCUCAUCUUCCUGGCAGCGACGUGUAAGGGGGAGGGGCAAAAGGAGGGCUGGACUCGGGUACGAAGGGAUUCGGCGCGCUGGCUGCACCGGAGCGGACAGGUGCGGUGUGAUGCAUUGAGGAUGUGCCUCCAGUGCACAAGGAACAAGGCAGGGAACCUUCUCUGGGCGCUCCCUUCAUCAUGGAGAAGAUGGGCACAGAAUGCGUGGUGGAAUGAGCCCUGGAAAGUCAGCAGGUGCCAGGCAGCGGAGGAUGGACCUAUCCUUGAGGUGGCCAGGAUUCAUUGUGUAAUGAAUUGAGUGGUGGGAAAACAGCAAUGAAUGAGACAGAUCCAGUCCCGGCACAAAGAAGGCUGUCCAGACCGGGGGAAGUGACAGGUAAACUGAGGCAGGGACCUGCUGGCUUUAAAUAGCAGUCCCCCUUGUGGUGAUCUGGGCAGAGAGGACCACUCAUAUGGAGGCUCUGAGGGUGUUACCAAGAACAAAGCCGGCAGGCGAUAGGGAGUGGUGGGGUCUGUGGCAACCCAGAAAUGCCUGCCAGGUCUAAAGGGAUCAAGGUGGGUGUGGUGGAAUGGAGAAAGGUUGGGAAGGGGGUUGGGACUAGGAGUGAGGGGUUAUAGGUGAGUCCCAGAGAGGUAGAGGUGAUGGCCACGGGAAGGUAGAAGGUGACUCCUAACCUUACAUGAGCUCAUUUCAGGGGACACAAAAGCCAAAUGCUGACCAGGGAAUGAAAAUGCAGAAAUUGGGCAGGUGCGAGGCAGUGGUAAAGAACAGGGUAGCUGAAGUUGCACCCCCCUUUUCCAUGGGCACCCGCUUGCUACCACUCAGCUCCAGCUGUGCGCUCCCACGUGGGAACUCAGGCUCAAUGUUGCCAGAAUAGCUUCUUCAAGAGAAGCCAGAAAUCACGGUUGUUGUGCAAAAUUCCCUGAGUUUUAAAUAUCCCAUGGGGAUCUACUAAAGUUAAAUUGCUUCAACCCAGCAAUUCCAUUCCUGGGUUGAUUCCCAGUGGAAGCGGGAGCUUAGGUUCACCUAAAGACACAUCCAUGGAUGUGCCUAGCAGCUUCAUUCAUGAUCGCCAGACACCGGACACCCCCUAAGUUGACCAUCAACUGGCAAGCGGAAAACAAAUGGGAGGACAUUCCUAUAAUGGAAUAUAACACAGCAAUGAAAAA
rnacentral:lncRNA from 1 species